GGGAGAUCGGCGCGGACGGACUCGUCGCCAACCCGGUCAGGUCCGGAAGGAAGCAGCCGUAACGAUUUCCGGUCCGGGUCGCUGUCCGGUCUCCCACC
rfam:Magnetospirillum marisnigri strain SP-1 NODE_4_length_270336_cov_102.199_ID_2963, whole genome shotgun sequence.